rnacentral:rRNA from 1 species
CGCGCAGGCGGUCGUUCAAGUCGCGUGUGAAAGCCCCCGGCUCAACUGGGGAGGGUCACGCGAUACUGAUCGACUCGAAGGCAGGAGAGGGUAGUGGAAUUCCCGGUGUAGUGGUGAAAUGUGUAGAGAUCGGGAGGAACACCGGUGGCGAAGGCGGGUCUCUGGGCAAUUCCUGACGCUGAGGCGCGAAAGCGUGGGGAGCAAACG